GAAUAUUGGACAAUGGGGGCAACCCUGAUCCAGCCAUGCCGCGUGUGUGAAGAAGGCCUUUUGGUUGUAAAGCACUUUAAGCAGUGAAGAAGACUCCAUGGUUAAUACACAUGGACGCUGACAUUAGCCGCAGAAUCAGCACCGUCUAACUCUGUGCCAGACACCGCGGUAAUACAGAGGGUGCAAGCGUUAAUCUGAAUUACUGGUCGUAAAGCGAGCGUAGGUGGCUUGAUAAGUCAGAUGUGAAAUCCCCGGGCUUAACCUGGGAACUGCAUCUGAUACUGUUAGGCUAGAAUAGGUGAGAGGAAGGUAGAAUUCCAGGUGUAGCGGUGAAAUGCGUAGAGAUCUGGAGGAAUACCGAUGGCGAAGGCAGCCUCCUGGCAUCAUAUUGACACUGAGGUUCGAAAGCGUGGGUAGCAAACAGG
rnacentral:rRNA from 1 species